UACGUAGGGGGCGAGCGUUGUCCGGAAUUAUUGGGCGUAAAGAGCUCGUAGGCGGCUUGUCGCGUCGACCGUGAAAACUUGGGGCUCAACCCCAAGCCUGCGGUCGAUACGGGCAGGCUCGAGUUCGGUAGGGGAGACUGGAAUUCCUGGUGUAGCGGUGAAAUGCGCAGAUAUCAGGAGGAACACCGAUGGCGAAGGCAGGUCUCUGGGCCGAUACUGACGCUGAGGAGCGAAAGCGUGGGGAGCGAACAGG
rnacentral:rRNA from 1 species